GUUUCAGGGCGUGGUGAAAGUCCACACCGGCGGUGAUCGCAGUGCAUUCUGCGUAAGUCCGCGAGCCUCACGGCCGAACCGGUGAGAAUCCGGUACCGACGGUAUAGUCCGGAUGAAAGAAA
rnacentral:ncRNA from 1 species